rnacentral:ncRNA from 1 species
UAAAAGUUUUAUUCUGGCUUGAAAAUUAAGUUUAAUUUUGAUUUAUAUGUAAAAUUUUUUAAAAGUAAAUUUUAUUUUAAUAAUAAAGAUUUUUUAAGAGUUUUUCGCAGUAAAUAAUUUUAAAAAUAAAUGUGAGUUUGAUUCAGCAAUAAUUAAUAGUAUUAACUAAAUUUGUGCCAGCAGUUGCGGUUAUACAAAUAAUACAAUUUAAUUUUAUUAAUAGUAAUUAUUUUAAAAUUAAUUAAAUUUUAUAUUGGUAUUAAUUAGGUGAAAUUUUUAUAUCAUAAAUUAUUUAUUUAAAGUUUAGGAAGUUAAGAAAUUUUUUUAAAAACUAGGAUUAGAUACCCUAUUAUAAUAAAUGUUAAAUAUUAUGUUAAAUGAUUAAUAGUUAUGGUCUUUAAAGUCAAAGAAUUUGGCGGUAUUUUAGUCUUUUCAGAGGAAUCUGUCCUAUAAUUGAUAGUCCACGAGUUUUUUUACUUAUAAUAUAUUAGUUUGUAUAUCGUCGUAAGGGAAUAUCUUUGUAGAGAUUUAAUAUUCUUAAUAUUUUUUUUGAAAAAAAAUCAGAUCAAGGUGUAGCUUAUUUAUAAGAAGAGAUGGAUUACAAUAAUUUAUAAUUUUGGAUUAAUUUUUUAAAUUAAAUUAUGAAAGUGGAUUUGACAGUAAUUUUGAUAAAAUUAUUAAAAUGAUUUUAGCUCUAAAAUAUGUACAUAUCGCCCGUCGCUUUCAUUUAAAGUGAAAUAAGUCGUAACAAAGUAGGCCUACCGGAAGGUGGGCCUAGAAAGAC